GGAAGUAGUUCAGUGGUAGAAUACAACCUUGCCAAGGUUGGGGUCGCGGGUUCGAAUCCCGUCUUCCGCUCCAAU
rnacentral:tRNA from 1 species